rnacentral:rRNA from 1 species
UACAUGCAAGUCGAACGGUCUUUCUAUGGAAGCUUGCUUCCACUGAGAAGAUAGUGGCGAACGGGUGAGUAACACGUGGGUAACCUGCCCAUAAGAGGGGGAUAACAUCCGGAAACGGGUGCUAAUACCGCAUAGUUUUCUUGAUUGCAUGAUUGAGAAAGGAAAGACGGCCUUUGUGCUGUCGCUUAUGGAUGGACCCGCGGCGUAUUAGUUAGUUGGUGAGGUAACGGCUCACCAAGACGAUGAUACGUAGCCGACCUGAGAGGGUGAUCGGCCACAUUGGGACUGAGACACGGCCCAAACUCCUACGGGAGGCAGCAGUAGGGAAUCUUCCGCAAUGGACGAAAGUCUGACGGAGCAACGCCGCGUGAGUGAAGAAAGGGUUUUCGGAUCGUAAAACUCUGUUGUCAGAGAAGAACAAGUUGGAGAGUAACUGCUCCAGCCUUGACGGUAUCUGACCAGAAAGCCACGGCUAACUACGUGCCAGCCGCCGC